rnacentral:rRNA from 1 species
AUUGAACGCUGGCGGCAGGCUUAACACAUGCAAGUCUAGCGAGCGGCGGACGGGUGAGUAAUGUCUGGGAACCUGCCUGAUGGAUGGGGACAACUACUGGAAACGGAAGCUAAUACCGCAUACCAUCCGAUGAUCACAGAUGGGAUUAGCUAGUAGGUGGGGGAAUGGCUCACCUAGGCGACGAUCCCUAGCUGCUCUGAGAGGAUGACCAGCCACACUGGAACUGAUACACGGUCCAGACUCCUACGGGAGGCAGAAGGGGGGAAUAUUGCACAAUGGGCGAAAGCCUGACGCAGCCAUGCCGCGUGUGUGAAGAAGGCCUUCGGGUUGUAAAGCACUUUCAGCGAGGAGGCGUUACUCGCAGAAGAAGCACCGGCUAACUCCGUGCCAGCAGCCGCGGUAAUUC